AUUGAACGCUGGCGGCAUGCCUUACACAUGCAAGUCGAACGGCAGCGGACCUUCGGGUGCCGGCGAGUGGCGAACGGGUGAGUAAAGUAUCGGAACGUACCUUUCAGUGGGGGAUAACGUAGCGAAAGUUACGCUAAUACCGCAUAUUCUCUGAGGAGGAAAGCAGGGGACCUUCGGGCCUUGCGCUGAUGGAGCGGCCGAUAUCAGAUUAGCUAGUUGGUGGGGUAAAGGCCUACCAAGGCGACGAUCUGUAGCGGGUCUGAGAGGAUGAUCCGCCACACUGGGACUGAGACACGGCCCAGACUCCUACGGGAGGCAGCAGUGGGGAAUUUUGGACAAUGGGCGAAAGCCUGAUCCAGCCAUGCCGCGUGAGUGAAGAAGGCCUUCGGGUUGUAAAGCUCUUUCGGCCGGGAAGAAAUCGUGUGGGCUAAUACCCUGCAUGGAUGACGGUACCGGAAUAAGAAGCACCGGCUAACUACGUGCCAGCCGCCGCCGUAA
rnacentral:rRNA from 1 species